CCUACGGGAGGCAGCAGUGGGGAAUAUUGCACAAUGGGGGAAACCCUGAUGCAGCGACGCCGCGUGAGUGAAGAAGUAUUUCGGUACGUAAAGCUCUAUCAGCAGGGAAGAAAAUGACGGUACCUGACUAAGAAGCCCCGGCUAACUACGUGCCAGCAGCCGCGGUAAUACGUAGGGGGCAAGCGUUAUCCGGAUUUACUGGGUGUAAAGGGAGCGUAGACGGCAGCGCAAGUCUGGAGUGAAAUCCCAUGGCUUAACCAUGGGACUGCUUUGGAAACUGUGCAGCUAGAGUGCAGGAGAGGUAAGCGGAAUUCCUAGUGUAGCGGUGAAAUGCGUAGAUAUUAGGAGGAACACCAGUGGCGAAGGCGGCUUACUGGACUGUAACUGACGUUGAGGCUCGAAAGCGUGGGGAGCAAACAGGAUUAGAUACCCUAGUAGUC
rnacentral:rRNA from 1 species